UGUGGUUCAACAGACUUACUUUCAAACCCACAGGUCAGUUCUCUCCAUACAAGAAGAGCUCCUUUUUAGAUGGCCAAUUACUGCUAAGGGCUUGCCAUAUUAUAUCAUUCACAAUAUAACGGUUUAAUUUCUUAAUAUGAUAAAAAAAAAAAACCUAUAAAACGACCGCUGCACACGCUGCAAUAACAAGCGUGCCUGAAAAUGAAAGUGGCCUUGCUACCAGGGUGAAAAGUGGAGCAACUUCAGCAGUGUGGAAGUGGUUUGGUUACAGACGAUCAGAUGUACAACAAACACAGUAAUAUGUAAGAAGUGCAACGAGACUGUAACUACAAAAGGGGACAGAACAACAAACACAUUUCACCACCUGAAGCAGCAGCACCCGGAUGAGCACGAGGAGAGCCAGAAAUGACUCUUCCCACCUGCCGACACCACCGUGAGCACGGGAUUGGGUGGGCAUCUAUCAGGGGGAUUGACAAAGAGAACCUUGUCAGAGAACAUUAGCCUGGCCAUCACAGUCAGACGCCUUCCCCCUCCCAGCGGCUCCUUGUUUAGAGGUUGAGGAACCAGCAAAUUGGAUUUUCACAGCUCCACUCUGCUUAGCAUAAACUCCCUGCUCUUCCUAUUCAUGAUGUAACGUGUCUGCGUCGGAUUUCAAAGACUACACAACUGGGGCAGAGGGUGGUGUAAUGGCCCAGAGCGGUGUCCUCGUUAGGGUUUUCAGCCGCAGAUAAAAGGAGGAUCUUGGAGGAAGCAUGGAAGACGCAGUUCUUGGUUUAUUUAUACAUUCAAAAAGUGUCUCGCUGUGACAUUUUUUAGAACGGCGCUAUCAAAACUUCAGCCAAGGUUUUGGUUUGUUGUUCAUUAAACAAAACUUAAAUU